GAGUAACGCGUAAGCAAUCCUGCCCCCACAAUCGGGAACAACCGUGCCAACGCGCGGCUAAUGCCGGAUAUUGUAGUCUACUGCAUAGUAGGCCAACGAAAGAUUUAUUGUUGUGGGAUGAGCUUGCGUCCGAUUAGCUAGUUGGCGGGGUAAUAGCCCACCAAGGCGACGAUCCGGUAGCCGGCCUGAGAGGGUGAUCGGCCACAUUGGGACUGAGAUACGGCCCAGACUCCUACGGGAGGCAGCAGUAGGGAAUAUUGCGCAAUGGGGGGAACCCUGACGCAGCAAACCGCCACGUGUGGGAAGAAGCACUUCGGUGUGUAAACCACUGUCGGAAAGGAAUAACGGAAGACUUCGGUCUUUAUGAAUGUACUUUUAGAGGAAGCACCGGCAAACUUCGUGCCAGCCGCCGC
rnacentral:rRNA from 1 species